rnacentral:rRNA from 1 species
AGUGAACGCUGGCGGUAGGCCUAACACAUGCAAGUCGAACGGCAGCACAGAGGAGCUUGCUCCUUGGGUGGCGAGUGGCGGACGGGUGAGGAAUACAUCGGAAUCUACUCUGUCGUGGGGGAUAACGUAGGGAAACUUACGCUAAUACCGCAUACGACCUACGGGUGAAAGCAGGGGAUCUUCGGACCUUGCGCGAUUGAAUGAGCCGAUGUCGGAUUAGCUAGUUGGCGGGGUAAAGGCCCACCAAGGCGACGAUCCGUAGCUGGUCUGAGAGGAUGAUCAGCCACACUGGGACUGAGACACGGUCCAGACUCCUACGGGAGGCAGCAGUGGGGAAUAUUGGACAAUGGGCACAAGCCUGAUCCAGCCAUACCGCGUGGGUGAAGAAGGCCUUCGGGUUGUAAAGCCCUUUUGUUGGGAAAGAAAUCCAUCUGGUUAAUACCCGGGUGGGAUGACGGUACCCAAAGAAUAAGCACCGGCUAAUUACGUGCCAGCCGCCGCGGUAA